rnacentral:rRNA from 1 species
AUGCAAGUCGAACGAGAAAGUGGAGCAAUCCAUGAGUAAAGUGGCGACCGGGUGAGUAACACGUGACCAAUCUACCCUUGAGUGGGGGAUAACCUCGGGAAACCGGGGCUAAUACCGCAUAAUAUCCCUGGAACGGAAGUACUGGGGAUCAAAGGAGCAAUUCGCUUAAGGAGGAGGUCGCGGCUGAUUAGCUAGUUGGCGGGGUAAUGGCCCACCAAGGCAAAGAUCGGUAGCCGGCCUGAGAGGGCGCACGGCCACACUGGAACUGAAACACGGUCCAGACUCCUACGGGAGGCAGCAGUGGGGAAUUUUGCGCAAUGGGGGAAACCCUGACGCAGCAACGCCGCGUGGAGGAUGAAGUCCCUUGGGACGUAAACUCCUUUCGACCCGGACGAUAAAGACGGUACGGGUGGAAGAAGC